rnacentral:lncRNA from 1 species
UCCCGCGUAUCCAUCACAUACGCCACAAAACCCUUACAGCCCUGCCGUAGACACUGCCUCGCCCUAGCGGCCGAACAAAAAGCUGAUCCCGAACGGGUACCCUCGCCGUACACCGAAAGAACUCCCCCUCUAGGGUCUCGUAUAGUCACCAACUGACGCUCACAGUCGAUGACAGCGCCGAACCGGCUCAGCCAGUCCAUGCCCACGAUGACACAGACAUCCCCCAUCGCGAUAGGAAUCAGAUCAAUUGGGAAUCCAACCCCGAAAAUCUCUAGUACACAUCCCCGAAGAACCUCCGUAGCACAAAUCACCUUCUCGUCAGCUAUAGAAACUCUCAAAGGUCGACUCAACGACUCACGACUAACGCCGAUAUGCUGACUAAAGGCUAAGGACACAAAGGACCUACUCGCACCCGAGUCAAAUAACACUAAGGCAGGCACAGAGUUCACAAGGAAAGUACCUACGCGCAUAAUAACAUAAGCAUAACAUAUCGACAUUAAAAUAAUUACAUGAAUUACAACAUACCUGCCACAACAUCGGGCGCAGCGCGGACCUCCUCCGCAGUCAGCUGAAAGGCUCUCCCACGAGCCCUCGGGGCCUCGACCUUCACCGGUCGAGUCUCAGUAGUCCUGGCAACAGGUGCAGAUCCCUGACGAAGCUGAGGGCACUCGGCCUUCCGAUGGCCGGUCUGGUUGCAAUGAAAGCAAACCAUAAAUCCCUUGGGACACUCCCUAGCAAUGUGUCCCUCCUUGCCACACUUGUAGCAAGCACCGGCUCGACACGCCCCAUCGUGACCCUUACCGCACUUUACGCAAGUGCGGUUCUUCGAACCUCCCGUCCUCGAAUCGGCGGACUUGAUCCGCUUGGCUGCCGGCUGAGACUGAGCCGGCCGCCGGUCUGCCUGCUGAGACUCGGCCUCCUCCCUGGCCUGAGUCUCUAACUCGAUCUCACGCUUCCUGGCAUUCGCCUGAAGCUCAGUAAAAGUAUGGUAAGUGGAGUUUGACACAAACUCCCGGAUCUCCCUCCUCAGAACACCCAAGUACCGGCUCAUCCGAGCCUGCUCUGUGGCCACCAGCUCGGGGCAAAACAUCGCCCUCUCAUGGAACUUCCGCGUGAUCGCCGCCACCGAAUCAGUACCCUGCUUGAGGGUUAAGAACUCCUGAACCAAUCGUUCCCGCUCCACCGGGGGAACGUACUCCUCCCUGAACAUGGUAGUGAACCCCUCCCAUGUCACUGCCGCAGUCUCUGCCAAAGUGAAGUUCGCCGUCACGAACUUCCACCAGUCCUUUGCUCCCAGACGGAGCUGGUUCAAAGCGAACCGUACCCUCAGGUGCUCCGGGCAUGAACAAGUGUAGAAGCACCCCUCUAUAUCUGCGAUCCACCUCAUCGCAGCAAUCGGAUCCUGCGUCCCAUCGAACUCUGGUGGCUUCGUGUUGCUGAACUCUCGGAACAGCAAUGAAUCACCCCCCUGUGGCCUAGCAGCGGCCACAGCUGCGGUAGCUGCAGCGGUUGCAGCCUCAGUCAAUGCGGCGUACCGCUCGUCGAACGUCUCCAUCAGGGUGGUCUUGAUAGACCCAAACAUCUCCGGGAUCUCAGCCCGGAUCGCCGCCGCCACCUCCUCGUGGAUCAUCUGACGAAUAUCCUCGUCACUCACACCGCUCGUACUUGCCCCGUGCCGCGGUCUAACCAUGAUAUCUCUGAAAUACAACAUAAAACUAUCAGAGAUUCUACCGAGUAUAAUCGUACUCGACACGCAACCCUACUCAGUCCCAGAUAUCCAGGGAUUCUUACUUGGGCCUCCCACUGACCCGGUGUCCUCGGUAGUACGGGCCCAAUACUACCGACCACACCGCAUCAAUGUUCAUCCCAAGUCCUCCUCCCCAAACUCCGGAUAGUGAGUACUCUACUUCUGAUACGCUCUAUCUACCCGCAUACUAGCAAAGCAUCUCAUAUAGGCAACUUCCCUAGACUAAGGCAUCACAAAUCAGGCCACUCUAGUCCUAUCAUGAAUACCUAGUCUUCUAGCAUGCAUAACAAUUCAUAUCAUAUAAUAUUGUAAGGUAUUUUGGGGAUCUUUACCGUUCGGGCGCUGACUGAUCGUACACACUGCUUCUUUCUUGCUUACCACAAAACCAUUUACAAAAGUUUAUGCCUUUAUUUGAAAAGUUUCCUCAAAUCCUCGGUUUGAGUUCAGUUACCCCCGAAGGUGCACCCGAAUCCCUCAAACCAAGGCUCUGAUACCAAUUGUAACAACUCAAAUUUUUCAAACAAAUUUUUCAUUUUUAAAACAUAAUUGUUUCCAUUAAAAACAAGGCAUAAAUAGUUUAAUUAUUCGGUCAAUACAAUUAUUCAAACUCCCAAGAUCAUAAAACAAUCUUCAGUGUGUAUCGAUCAUGCCGGCGCCUUCCCACGGUCCUCGCUAGUACCUGAAAUACAUGCACAACAACUGUAAGCAUAAAUGCUUAGUGAGUUCCCCAAUAUACACUUACACACAUACGCCUUUCCAGGCCCUGACCUUCCGGUCCUCAAUACAACGCCUUCCGGCCCAUAACAUAAUCGCCUUCCGGCCCAUAACAUAUUGCCUUCCGGCCCACAUAUCAUACAUAGCACAUAUAACAAUUAACUUACCACAUAUAGCAUACAUAUCACAUAACAUAUCCGACCUUCCGGUCACACAGUCAAACCCUUCCGGGUACAGUAUAGUGAGAAGACUCACCUCGUAAAUGCUGAAAGCUAGCAACUCCUGAAAUCACUCGCGCACAAACCAACGAGCUACAACCCUCCUAUAACAUUACAUAACUCAUUAACACUCAUAUCUUCUAAGUGUGACUAUCCCUAAGAAGUCAGACUUAGGUCAACUCUGGUCAACGGUCAACGGUCAACUCGACUGGACUCGGCGAGUACCAUGGCGACUCGGCGAGUCUAGUCGUCCUCACAAAUUCCUGAAUAUUCCCUUUCUACUCGUCGAGUAUCCCUCUUGACUCGACGAGGUCCUCGUGGAAGAAUCGCGGGGCCACCCCGACUCCACUCGCCGAGUCUGAAGAACAACUCGGCGAGUCCCAGUAAAUCUUCAAGCUACUCGCCGAGUCUGAAGAACAACUCGGCGAGUCCAUGCCAUGCAGACGAGCAACUGCUUCCUGAAUUACGUAUGGUCCCGAGAUAUACAACCAUGGGACUUUCUGGACUUCUAAACAUCUCAUUACUGGGGUAUAAACGUUUGGGUAAUAACAUAAUAACCCAUCUAAUCACUAAAUGGGUUUCAUAAACCCUAAACUCACAUACACAUCAAAAUAACAGAUUUGGUCCGAGUAUUACCUGAAAACGCACUCUCUGUGUCCCCCAAAUCUCAGGACUCAAUCCUCCUUGAUAUUCCUUUAGCCAAAUCCCUCUUCUUCUUGCCUAACCAAUUCUUCCAAGUUCCAAAGCUUUCUCCCUUGCUCUAGGCGUCCACAGCGAUUAGGGUUUCUCUCAAUUGACCAAAAGACUGAAAAUGACGGCCUAAGAGGCGUUAAAUACGAUCCAAACUGAACGGUUAGGGUUUCUGCUGAACAGCGUCGACUCGCCGAGUCCAUAUCUGGACUCGUCGAGUCCAGUCGCGGACCCGCGACCAAGUCUGCGAUCCUACUCGGCGAGUCUAGGCUCCAACUCGCCGAGUCCCCUCUUAAAUCACCCCAAAAACAUAAUUUUAAUAAUACCUGAGAUUCCGGGCUGUUACAACUCUCCCCCACUUGGAUUAGACUUCGCCCUCGAAGUCUCACUCUGCAAAUAGUUCCGGAUGCUGCUCCCGCAUUUCGCGCUCCGGUUCCCAAGUCAUUUCUGAUCCCUUACGGUGUUGCCAUUGAACCAACACCAGAGGUACCUCCUUGUUCCUCAGAACCUUGAUCUUCCGAUCCCUGAUAGCCACUGGUCUCUCCGCGUAAUUCAGGCUCGCAUCCACCUGAAUAUCCUCCAAUGGAACCACUGCCGACUCAUCGGCUAUGCACUUCCUCAACUGCGACACAUGAAAAGUGUCAUGGAUCUGACCCAACUCCGCUGGCAACUCCAACCGAUAGGCUACCCGACCUAUCCUUGCAAUCACACGAAAUGGCCCAAUAUACCGGGGCCCCAACUUGCCCCUCUUCCUGAAUCGAAUCACUCCUUUCCAAGGAGAGACCUUCAGGAGAACGAAGUCGCCGACCUGAAAUUCAAGCUCGGAUCGGCGCCUGUCUGCAUAACUCUUCUGUCGGCUCUGGGCAGUCAAUAACCUUUGUCUCACUCGCUGAAUCUGCUCUGUCGUCUGGAGCACGAUCUCCGUGCUGCCCAUCACUCUCUGUCCCACCUCUCCCCAGCAAAUGGGGGUCCGACACCUCCUACCAUACAACAGCUCGAAAGGUGGCAUACCAAUGCUCGAAUGAUGGCUGUUGUUGUAGGAAAACUCUGCCAAUGGUAAAUACGCAUCCCAACUACCCCCGAAGUCUAACACACACGCUCGGAGCAUGUCCUCCAGCGUCUGAAUUGUCCGCUCGCUCUGACCGUCUGUCUGGGGAUGGUAUGCGGUACUAAAAUGCAAUUUAGUACCCAGCUCCUCAUGGAAUUUCUUCCAGAAUCUGGAAGUAAAGCGCACAUCACGGUCUGACACAAUCGAGAUCGGCACCCCGUGCCGAGAUACCACCUCUCUCACGUAUAUCUCCGCCAAUUUCUCCGCCGAAGAACUCUCACUGAUGGCAAGGAAGUGUGCACUCUUUGUCAACCUAUCCACGAUCACCCAAAUUGCGUCAACUCCCCUAGCAGUCCUCGGCAAUUUGGUGAUAAAAUCCAUAGUGAUCUGUUCCCACUUCCACUCGGGGAUCUCCAAUGGCUGUAACUUGCCAUGCGGUCUCUGGUGCUCAGCCUUAACCCUACGGCAGGUCAAGCACCUCUCAACGAACCAUGCCACGUCCCUCUUCAUACAGGGCCACCAAUAUUCCUUCCUUAAAUCCAAAUACAUCUUUGUAGCACCGGGAUGGAUCGAGAAUUUCGAUCUAUGAGCCUCUUCCAUCAACGUAAUACGCGUACCGCCCACGAACGGUACCCAAAUCCGACCCUGAAACGUCAUAAGGCCUCGACUAUCCUUGACAAACUCUGAGAUUAACCCCACAACCCGCUCUUUCUUCUGCAUUUCUGGUCGCACAGCCUCUGCCUGGGCCCCACGAAUAGCGUCCAAUACUGGAGUCAUCACAGUCAGUCUCAAGCAUACAUCUCGCAAUGGAGUGCUCUCCGCCCUGCGGCUCAAUGCAUCGGCUACCACAUUAGCCUUGCCUGGGUGGUACAGGAUCUCACAAUCAUAAUCCUUGACCACAUCCAACCACCUCCUCUGACGCAUAUUUAGGUUGGGUUGAUCCAUCAAAUACUUCAAACUCUUAUGGUCCGUGUAUAUCGUACAUCGAACCCCAUACAAGUAGUGACGCCAAAUCUUGAGAGCGAACACUACUGCCCCCAACUCUAAAUCAUGCGUGGGAUAUCUCGCCUCAUGAGGCUUCAGCUGCCUCGACGCAUAAGCUAUCACAUGACCCCUCUGCAUCAACACUGCACCCAAUCCCGAAAUCGAUGCGUCGCAAUAUACCACGAAAUCUUCCAUCCCUUCUGGGAGAGCUAAUACCGGGGCUUCGCACAAUCUCUGGCGAAGUGUCUCAAAGGAGGUCUGCUGCUCGGGCCCCCAUGAGAAUGUAACACCCUUCCGGGUCAAUCUGGUGAGUGGCACUGCGAUCUUGGAGAAAUCCUUGAUAAAUCUCCGAUAAUACCCUGCCAACCCAAGGAAACUUCUGAUCUCAGAGGGUGACUUCGGCACCUCCCAACUCAUCACCGCCUCAACCUUGGCCGGAUCGACCAAUAUCCCUUUCUGAUUAACCACAUGUCCUAGAAACUGGACCUCCCGCAACCAGAAGUCACAUUUGGAGAACUUUGCAUAAAGCUUCUCCGACCUCAAUACCUCAAGGACCUCCCUCAAAUGCUCCUCAUGCUGCUCUCUAGAUCUCGAAUACACCAGAAUGUCGUCGAUAAAUACGAUCACUGACCGAUCCAACAUCGGCCUGCAUACCCUGUUCAUGAGAUCCAUGAACACAGCCGGGGCAUUGGUGAGUCCAAAAGGCAUCACCACAAACUCAUAAUGCCCAUAUCGCGUCCUAAACGCUGUCUUCUGGACGUCUUCAUCCCGUACUCUCACCUGAUGGUAUCCUGACCUCAGAUCGAUCUUGGAAAACCAAGAUGCUCCCUGCAACUGAUCGAAUAAAUCAUCGAUCCUCGGCAACGGGUAACGGUUCUUGACCGUUAGCUUGUUCAACUCCCGGUAAUCAAUGCACAUCCGGUGUGAACCAUCCUUCUUCUUGACGAACAGAAUAGGUGCUCCCCAUGGCGAGCUGCUCGGCCGAAUGAAUCCCUUUCCCAGCAACUCCUGGAGUUGCGAGGACAACUCUUGCAUCUCUGGAGGUGCAAGACGAUAGGGCACUUUAGCAAUAGGCGCGGCCCCCGGAACCAGAUCGAUACCAAACUCUACUUGCCUCACAGGAGGUACUCCCGGCAGUUCCUCGGGAAAAACAUCUGAAAACUCACGCACCACAGGGACCUCCUUAACUGACUUCGGUCUCUCGGAAACCUCCCGCGUAUCCAUCACAUACGCCACAAAACCCUUACAGCCCUGCUGUAGACACUGCCUCGCCCUAGCGGCCGAACAAAAAGCUGAUCCUGAACGGGUACCCUCACCGUACACCGAAAGAACUCCCCCACUAUGGUCUCGUAUGGUCACCAACUGACGCUCGCAGUCGAUGACAGCGCCGAAUCGGCUCAACCAGUCCAUGCCCACGAUAACACAGACAUCCCCCAUCGCAAUAGGAAUCAGGUCAAUCGGGAAUUCAACCCCGAAAAUCUCUAGUACACAUCCCCGAAGAACCUCCGUAGCACGAAUCACUUUCUCGUCAGCUAUAGAAACUCUCAAAGGUCGACUCAACGACUCACGACUAACGCCGAUCUGCUGACUAAAGGCUAAGGACACAAAGGACCUACUCGCACCCGAGUCAAAUAACACUAAGGCAGGCACAGAGUUCACAAGGAAAGUACCUACGCGCAUAAUAACAUAAGCAUAACAUAUCGACAUUAAAAUAAAUACAUGAAUUACAACAUACCUGCCACAACAUCGGGCGCAGCGCGGACCUCCUCCGCAGUCAGCUGAAAGGCUCUCCCACGAGCCCUCGGGGCCUCGACCUUCACCGGUCGAGUCUCAGUAGUCCUGGCAACAGGUGCAGAUCCCUGACGAAGCUGCGGACACUCGGCCUUCCGAUGGCCGGUCUGGUUGCAAUGGAAGCAAACCAUAAACCCCUUGGGGCACUCCCUAGCAAUGUGCCCCUCCUUGCCGCACUUGUAGCAAGCACCGGCUCGACACGCCCCAUCGUGACCCUUGCCGCACUUUACGCAAGUGCGGUUCUUCGAACCUCCCGUCCUCGAAUCGGCGGACUUGAUCCGCUUGGCUGCCG